UACAGAGGAUGCAAGCGUUAUCCGGAAUGAUUGGGCGUAAAGCGUCCGCAGGUGGCAAUGUAAGUCUGCUGUCAAAGCGUCUGGCUCAACCAGAUAAAGGCAGUGGAAACUACAUAGCUAGAGUAAGGUAGGGGUAGAGGGAAUUCCUGGUGUAGCGGUGAAAUGCGUAGAGAUCAGGAAGAACACCGGUGGCGAAAGCGCUCUGCUGGACCUAAACUGACACUGAGGGACGAAAGCUAGGGGAGCGAAUGGG
rnacentral:rRNA from 1 species